AAUCCCGGCCUCGGGAGACAGUUAAGGGUGUCUCUCGCUAUCUGAAUCUCUUCGGAGAGCAAGAUUUGGGAUACCUAAGCAUACCCUGGAGUGGUCAGGGUGGGUGGGGACCCUGUGUCCUUGAUCUGUUUGCCCCGCCUGAGGUCACGCCACGUAGUUAGGGCCCGUCUGGGCACACUUUGGGUCCUGAGUGACCUCUCUGAGCCUCCUCUCCCACUCUCUCCUGUAAAGCUCCAGUGACUGGUGACUCAAUCGGAUGAACCCCAGGGCCACAGUCCGCUUUAUAGACCAAAAGGAGCAGGAAUUGAGCCAGGCGGGCGUGGUGACGCACUCCUGUAGCCCCAGCUAUUGAGAAGGAGAGGGAUCACUUCAGCCCAGGAGUCCAACCUGGGCAAUAGAGCAAGACCCUCGUUUCUCUUUUUCU
rnacentral:lncRNA from 1 species